GACGAACGCUGGCGGCGUGCCUAACACAUGCAAGUCGAACGGAAAGGCCCUGCGUUUGUGGGGUGCUCGAGUGGCGAACGGGUGAGUAACACGUGAGUAACCUGCCCUUGACUUUGGGAUAACUUCAGGAAACUGGGGCUAAUACCGGAUAGGAGCUUCUGCUGCAUGGUGGGGGUUGGUAAGUUUCGGCGGUUGGGGAUGGACUCGCGGCUUAUCAGCUGGUUGGUGGGGUAGUGGCUUACCAAGGCUUUGACGGGUAGCCGGCCUGAGAGGUUGAACGGCCACAUUGGGACUGAGAUACGGCCCAGACGCCUACGGGAGGCAGCAGUGGGGAAUAUUGCACAAUGGGCGGAAGCCUGAUGCAGCAACGCCGCGUGCGGGAUGACGGCUUUCGGGUUGUAAACCGCUUUCGCCUGUGACGAAGCGUGAGUGACGGUAAUGGGUAAAGAAGCACCGGCUAACUACGUG
rnacentral:rRNA from 1 species